UACGGAGGGUGCAAGCGUUAUCCGGAUUCACUGGGUUUAAAGGGUGCGUAGGUGGAUUAGUAAGUCAGUGGUGAAAUCUCCGGGCUUAACCCGGAACUGCCAUUGAUACUAUUAGUCUUGAAUACCGUGGAGGUCAGCGGAAUAUGUCAUGUAGCGGUGAAAUGCUUAGAUAUGACAUAGAACACCAAUUGCGAAGGCAGCUGGCUACACGAGCAUUGACACUCAGGCACGAAAGCGUGGGGAUCAAACAGGAUUAGAAUGACCCUA
rnacentral:rRNA from 1 species